rnacentral:rRNA from 1 species
AACGUAGGAGACAAACGUUAUCCGGAGUUACUGGGCGUAAAGGGCGUGUAGGUGGUUGCGUAAGUCUGGCGUGAAAUUUUUCGGCUUAACCGGGAAAGGUCGUCGGAUACUGCGUAGCUAGAGGACGGUAGAGGCGUGUGGAAUUCCGGGUGUAGUGGUGAAAUGCGUAGAGAUCUGGAGGAACACCGAUGGCGAAGGCAGCCUUCUGGGCCAACACUGACGCUCAUGCACGAAAGCGUGGGGAGCAAACAGG